CCCAAAAUUCCCCCUCCCUCCCAACAAAAUUCCCAUUCCCUCUUAAUUAAUAAGUUAGAAAAAAAAACCCUAUCACUUCGUCACAGCCCCCAUUCUCACCGUGUUCCUUCGAGCCAGCCCCCACCAUCGCCGAGCUCCUCCCAACCCCUCCAUCGUACGUCGUUUCCCUUCCUCCCAGCCCCUACCAUUGUCCCAUUGUCGUUCACCUUCUUCCCAACCCCUACUUUGUCACAGCCCCCAAGAUUGACGAAGGCAGAAACCCUAGCGUCGCACUCCUCCGCUAUCCAGCCACCGUCGAACUUCGAAGAGAGAGAAAGAAAGCGCAUGAAGAUGAGAGAGAGAGGGGUCAAAAGCUGAGCUGGUGUCUGUCACCGCCUCCACUGCCUUCACGCCGCUGUUGAAGCUCUGCUGCGGCUGUUGCUGCCGUCUGAGCCGCCGCCAGGGGAAGCCGCUGCCGCCGUUUCCAUUAUCUGAAAGGGAAUGAAGUGAGUAACAUCAUUCAGUAUAGAUGUAGAGAGCAAAAGGGUGGCAGUGAUGGGCUACAUUUCUCCAUUGAAAGUCCUUGAGAGCAUUUCAAAGGUGAAAAGAGCAGAGUUCUGGAAUUGUUAAAUGUUAAUUAGCACUGUGAAUAAGCACAUAGCAAAAAUUACUCUUUUAAUUAAUCUGCAUUGGGUUAAUUAGCUACAUGGGAAGAAGGAUCAAUUCUGAGGCUUUAGAAGAAAUUUCAAAAUGUGAACACAAAAGAAAAAAGUUGAAGUAGCUUGACUCUACAGUUUACUUUACUAAGGAGGUGUUAGAGUGGAGACAGAAAGGUGGGCUAAGUCAUAUAGUUGAAAGUUGAUUUUAUUUUGUGGUGGCAUGAGCCUUAAUCUUUCAUGUAUGUACAACCCUCACAUGCUCAUGGUGUGGCAUCUUUUAGUGGCAUCAUAAACAACAUGAACAAACUUGGUAAUUUGGAGCAAGUAAUGUUGAAAGCUACGCUGAGUGGCUGAUAUAAUGAUCUCAAAACAAUGUUCCUCAACUCAAGGAAGAAAUGAAUUCUGAGGCAUGUCUUUGAAAAAGGAUUAACAUGAUCAAGCCAAAGAACAGAUCAAGAAGACAUGAUGUGAUGAAGAAAAUAUGUUCCAUACAAAUAUCACAUGGGAUAGUCUUACAAUGGCUUUAGUUAUGAAAAUGUAUUUGAUGUAUGUGUUAUGUACUUUUUGAGGUAUUACAUGUAAUUGGAAAAAAUUCCACUCUAUUUGGAUUUGUGUUGUUUAGACUAAAGAUUAAACAUAUCUAUCUUAUAAUGAAACUUUUAUGAUUUA